GUGGGGAAUCUUGCGCAAUGGGGGCAACCCUGACGCAGCAACGCCGCGUGCGGGAAGACGGCCUUCGGGUUGUAAACCGCUUUCAGCGGGGACGAUUAUGACGGUACCCGCAGAAGAAGCUCCGGCUAACUACGUGCCAGCAGCCGCGGUAAUACGUAGGGAGCGAGCGUUAUCCGGAUUCAUUGGGCGUAAAGCGCGCGUAGGCGGAUGCCUAAGCGGGACCUCUAACCCGGGGGCUCAACCCCCGGCCGGGUCCCGAACUGGGCGUCUCGAGUGCGGUAGGGGCAGGUGGAAUUCCAUGUGUAGCGGUGGAAUGCGCAGAUAUAUGGAAGAACACCGACGGCGAAGGCAGCCUGCUGGGCCGACACUGACGCUGAGGUGCGAAAGCGCGGGGAGCGAACAGGAUUAGAAACCCUAGUAGUCC
rnacentral:rRNA from 1 species